CCACCAUGCAGUCGAGCGGGGGAAGGUAGCUUGCUACCGGACCUAGCGGCGGACGGCCGAUUAAUGCUUAGGAAUCUGCCUAUUAGUGGGGGACAACAUCUCGAAAGGGAUGCUAAUACCGCAUACGUCCUACGGGAGAAAGCAGGGGAUCUUCGGACCUUGCGCUAAUAGAUGAGCCUAAGUCGGAUUAGCUAGUUGGUGGGGUAAAGGCCUACCAAGGCGACGAUCUGUAGCGGGUCUGAGAGGAUGAUCCGCCACACUGGGACUGAGACACGGCCCAGACUCCUACGGGAGGCAGCAGUGGGGAAUAUUGGACAAUGGGGGGAACCCUGAUCCAGCCAUGCCGCGUGUGUGAAGAAGGCCUUAUGGUUGUAAAGCACUUUAAGCGAGGAGGAGGCUACUCUAGUUAAUACCUAGGGAUAGUGGACGUUACUCGCAGAAUAAGCACCGGCUAACUCUGUGCCAGCAGCCGCGGUAAU
rnacentral:rRNA from 1 species